UGAUCCAGGAGGGUCUUUUACCUAGAAGC
rnacentral:piRNA from 1 species